UACGGAGGGUGCGAGCGUUGUCCGGAAUCACUGGGCGUAAAGGGCGCGUAGGCGGCCUGAUAAGUAGGGGGUGAAAUCUUGCGGCUUAACCGCAAGGCUGCCUUCUAAACUGUCGGGCUCGAGCACAGUAGAGGCAGGUGGAAUUCCCGGUGUAGCGGUGGAAUGCGUAGAGAUCGGGAAGAACAUCAGUGGCGAAGGCGGCCUGCUGGGCUAUUGCUGACGCUGAGGCGCGGCAGCGUGGGGAGCAAACAGG
rnacentral:rRNA from 1 species